GACGAACGCUGGCGGCGCGCCUAACACAUGCAAGUCGAACGAGAGAUGAAGAGCUUGCUCUUCAAAUCGAGUGGCGAACGGGUGAGUAACGCGUGAGGAACCUGCCUCAAAGAGGGGGACAACAGUUGGAAACGACUGCUAAUACCGCAUAAGCCCACGGCUCGGCAUCGAGCAGAGGGAAAAGGAGCAAUCCGCUUUGAGAUGGCCUCGCGUCCGAUUAGCUAGUUGGUGAGGUAACGGCCCACCAAGGCGACGAUCGGUAGCCGGACUGAGAGGUUGAACGGCCACAUUGGGACUGAGACACGGCCCAGACUCCUACGGGAGGCAGCAGUGGGGAAUAUUGCACAAUGGGGGAAACCCUGAUGCAGCGACGCCGCGUGGAGGAAGAAGGUCUUCGGAUUGUAAACUCCUGUUGUUGAGGAAGAUAAUGACGGUACUCAACAAGGAAGUGACGGCUA
rnacentral:rRNA from 1 species